GCUAAUCCCUCUAGAGAGUCCUUAUCAAUAGUGGGGGUUGGCACCUCGAUGUUGGCUUAGGGAAUCAAUGUAACGCAAAAGUUACAUAAGGAAGGUUUGUUCAACCUAUAAACCCCUACAUGAGCUGAGUUCAGACCGGCGUAAGCCAGGUUAGUUUCUAUCCUCGACAAUACAUUUCUUCUUAUAGUACGAAAGGACCUAAGUAAGAGUAAUAAUUACAUCUCUGAAUUCAUAUAAAGUAAUUUCAUCUUAAUACUACAUAAAAUAUG
rnacentral:rRNA from 1 species